GACGUAGGGUGCAAGCGUUGUCCGGAUUUACUGGGCGUAAAGCGCGCGUAGGCGGCUCGUUAAGUGUGAAGUGAAAUCCCUGGGCUCAACUCAGGAACUGCUUUACAUACUGGCGAGCUUGAGGGAUGCAGAGGUCUGUGGAAUUCCUGGUGUAACGGUGAAAUGCGUAGAGAUCAGGAGGAACACCGGUGGCGAAGGCGGCCCACUGGGCAGUCACUGACGCUGAGGCGCGAAAGCUCGGGGAGCGAACGGG
rnacentral:rRNA from 1 species